AACACUCUACCUUUGUACUUCACCCACUCUCUUUUGGAUAAGGUUUUAUCCUUAAAAAUGUGAUUAAUUAAUAGUUAAGGGUCCUUAUAUGUUAAAAUAAAGUUUUGGGUGAAAAUCUCAUGUUAAAACAAUUAAAAACGGGCCUAAAAUGCGAAUUUAGUCGAAAACCGGGAGAAAAAGCGUUCCCAGCGAGACCUCUCGGUCCUAGGCCGAGGUUCGGUCCCUAGGCCGAGGUUCGGUCCUUGCUGGUGCUGAGCCGGAAGCGAAGUGCGAACCAGAAGAAGAAGGCGAAGGCGAGGGGCUCAGUCCGAAGGCUCGGUCCGAAGGGUCAGAAGCGAAGGUUCGGUUCGGUUCUUUGAGUGAGGUUCGGUUCGGUUCUUUGAGUGAGGUUCGGUUCGGUUCUUUGAGUGAGGUUCGGUUCGGUUCAACAGCCUUCUUCAUCAGGAGGGUUCGGUUCCUAAGGGGACUUUCGGUUCCUAAGAGGGGUUUCGGUUCCUAAAAGGGCUUUCGGGUCCUAAGAGGGGUUUCGGUUCCUCAAGCCCGUUUUUCGCGUAGACUUCCGCUUUUGGGCUGUUUUCGCCAAAUUCGAGGGUCGGAAUGCCCCGAGUGAUUAUAGAAAGUUGGGAGAGAUUUGAGAGAGAUUCCACAUACUCAGAGAGAUUUGGGAGAGAUUUGACAUUCUUGGAGAGAUUUCACAUACAAAGAGAUAUUUGGGAGAGAUUUCACAUACUUAGAGAGAUUUGGGAGAGAUUCUCGAUAAGAAGAGAUAGAGUGAAAACGAUUGAGAGCGGUUUCGUGUGUGACGAAUGUGAGUGUCCGGCUUCGCAAUGCAAGGUCCGUAAACCCCGUUAUGCCAUGUUUUAGGAUCAUACACACUCCCUAUGAGUAUGCAACAUUGUUUUAUUGUUCUUGUUCAUUGUUUAGCACUAAGGUUAAAGAAAUUUAAACACACAAACUUUCCAAGUGAUGUUUUCUCAUUAAGAUAGUGAGUUAUACAGAAAUUACAUAAUACAAACCCUAUUAUACAAGGUUUAAUUGAGUUGACCGGUUUGACUCGUUGACCUUGUCCGGCUUAGACUUGACCCGAAUUUGACUAUUGUCACAGUAUGAGUGUUCUCAUGUAAAAAUGAAAUGUUUGUAUAUGUACUAUAGAA
rnacentral:lncRNA from 1 species